rnacentral:misc_RNA from 1 species
CAACGGUUUCAUGUGGCAGAGACUUCUACAAUUGGUCAAGACAACCACUUGGAAAUCAGUUCCAAAUUUCCAUGUUUCUGAAAAAGACUGAGGGUCUCGGGAACGUUAAACGCACCUCAUGAAACAAGUGUAGAAGAGAAAUUUGGAACUGAAAUA